UUUGACCUCAAAUCAGGUAGGACUACCCGCUGAACUUAAGCAUAUCAAUAAGCGGAGGAAAAGAAACUAACAAGGAUUCCCCUAGUAACUGCGAGUGAAGCG
rnacentral:rRNA from 1 species